rnacentral:lncRNA from 1 species
ACUCGCGAGGUGAAGCCGCCUCCCAGUUUGCGGGGUGUGCGUGUGGAGUACGGCGGGCGCGUCGGUGCAGUCUGGUGGGCGCGUCAGUGCAGUCCGUCCGGGUAGAGCGUGCAUUGCUCACGCGCCACAUCCCCCGCCGGUUAGCCGCCCCUCUGUCCACCUCCUACGCCGCUGGAGUAACACAGUCGUUUUUCUUAUUCUUCUUCUUCCUUUUUUGGAUUUUGGAUAUGUAGUACAGUCGGAUCCCUCAGGCAGUGCGCCACGCGCCCUCGUUCGGUACGCUAAUAUCUAGUUCAUCGUAGUCCGGCCUUGGGCAGCAAGUGAGCCCCUCCCGUCCACCCGGGCUAUGGAGGCGAGCUAGAUCCGGCGAGAUCCUUUCCUCUACGGUCCCCGGCCGUCCAACCUCACGCCCCGACGGCCUCCUGCAAGCACGGAUGGGUCGACGCCACCCCGUCCGCACUGCAUUUGUAAAAAAAUUCAGAAAAAAAUUAAAGAAUGGUGAAGUUCAUUUGUAAGAAAAAAUGUGAUUUUCUACAGAACCCCAUAAAUUAGGAAAACCUCAUGAGGUACACUAACCUCCUCUGCCCGCUACUAGGGGGCAUCUCGGCCGCCGCCGUUGCGCCGUGCUACCCCGACACUACAGUCUACAGAGCAAUAGCGGCAACAUGGCUCCUCGUUCUGCCUUCUAGAGCAGCGGUGCAGUUGCUGCGGCCAUGCAGCUCGGCUUGCGGACAAAUGCAGUUGACUUGCACAGGCCGGUUGCUCUCUGCGACGAACCAAUUUGAUACCAUUUUUAUUUGGGUGAUUCAGCGUCAGAAGCUAACUCUUGCUUUUGCAUCUUUUCUUCCACAGCGGUUGCAGAUGUGUUGGAGCAAGAGGGCUCCUAAAACAUAGCCUGCAUCACCUCAAGUCUUCAGACACUGAAACCAGGUAUCAACAUUAAGUACACUGAUCUCUGGAAUCCUCUCUAGAAUUUACUGAUGAAAUCUUGUGUUAGUGUACAGUGUUUUGCAAUUCUCCUGGUUUGUGUUGCAAUUCUACCUGUGCAGCUCAGUUGCCUCUCCCCGUGCAGCUCGCUUGCCGCCCCCGUGCAGCUCACCUCCGCCGAGCAAACUCUUUUCGGCGAGUCCACAUCGCGUCCGCACCACAUCGUGCAAUUUGAGUGCAGUUUUUGAUUAUUUUUGGAGCAGCACAUCCAUCCAACCCAAUAAGUUCAGAGUUUGUGUGUUCAGUGCAGUACCGCAGUGCAAUGCAGUGCAGUUUCGGUUUCAGAGUCCCGUUGAAGGCCUCUUGGUGCUAUCCUCACUUAAUUUUUAUGUGAAAAUGUGUGUACAGCCUGUGUAACAGAAUUGCAAGGCCAAGUUUGUCAUAAAAAAUGAUGCUUAGAUGCGAUUCAGUGUAAAAUCCUAUGUGGUUCACUUGGUAAACAAAAAAGUGUCUGGUAUGUAAAUUUUUGAAGCUCACUUUGUAAUGUCAUGUGGCUAACCUCUCGAUAGUUUUGCGGUCCACUUACGCCCGAGGUGAAGCCCGCUGUGUAAUCUCAUGCGGCACACCUCUUGAUAGUGUUGCGAUUCACUUACGCCCGAUCCAAUAUGAAGCUCACUUUGUAAUGUCAUGUGGCUCACCUCGAUAGUUUUGCGAUCCACUUACGCUCGAGGUGAAGCUCACUUUGUAAUCUCAUGCGGGUCACCUCUUGAUAGUGUUGCAAUUCACUUACACCCUAUCCAAUAUGAAGCUCACUUUGUA